rnacentral:rRNA from 1 species
UUGGAGGGCAAGUCUGGUGCCAGCAGCCGCGGUAAUUCCAGCUCCAAUAGCGUAUAUUAAAGUUGUUGCAGUUAAAAAGCUCGUAGUUGAAUUUCGGGAUCAGUACGUUGGUCGUGCCUUAGGUACGUACUGGUGUUACUGGUUCCUACCUUCUGACGAACCAUCAUGUCAUUCAUUUGGUGUGGCGGGGAAUCAGGACUGUUACUUUGAAAAAAUUAGAGUGUUUAAAGCAGGCUCGCGCUUGAAUACAUUAGCAUGGAAUAAUGAAAUAGGACGUUGAUCCUAUUUUGUUGGUUUCUAGGAUUGACGUAAUGAUUAAUAGGGAUAGUUGGGGGCAUUAGUAUUCAAUUGUCAGAGGUGAAAUUCUUGGAUUUAUUGAAGACUAACUACUGCGAAAGCAUUUGCCAAGGAUGUUUUCAUUAAUCAAGAACGAAAGUUAGGGGAUCGAAGACGAUCAGAUACCGUCGUAGUCUUAACCAUAAGCUAUGCCGACUAGGGAUCGGAUGAUGUUAUUUUUAAUGACUCAUUCGGCGCCUUACGGGAAAC